AUUGAACGCUGGCGGCAUGCCUUACACAUGCAAGUCGAACGGCAGCGCGGACUUCGGUCUGGCGGCGAGUGGCGAACGGCUGAGUAAUACAUCGGAACGUACGCUGUUGAGGGGGAGAACUAGUCGAAAGAUAAGCUAAUACCGCAUACGACCUGAGGGUGAAAGUGGGGGACCGCAAGGCCUCACGCAGCAGGAGCGGCCGAUGUCUGAUUAGCUAGUUGGUGGGGUAAAGGCCCACGAAGGCGACGAUCAGUAGCUGGUCUGAGAGGACGAUCAGCCACACUGGGACUGAGACACGGCCCAGACUCCUACGGGAGGCAGCAGUGGGGAAUUUUGGACAAUGGGGGCAACCCUGAUCCAGCAAUGCCGCGUGUGUGAAGAAGGCCUUCGGGUUGUAAAGCACUUUUGUCCGGAAAGAAAUCGCGCUGGUUAAUACCUGGCGUGGAUGACGGUACCGGAAGAAUAAGCACCGGCUAACUACGUGCCAGCAGCCGCCGUAA
rnacentral:rRNA from 1 species